rnacentral:lncRNA from 1 species
GGGGGCAGUUUCCUCCAUGCUGUUCUCAUGAUAGUGAGUGAGUUCUCAUGAGAUCUGAUGGUUUUAUAAGGGGCUCUUCCCCCUUUGCUUGGCACUCCCUACCUCCUGCCGACUUGUGAAGAAGGUUCCCGCUUCACCUUCCACCAUGACUGUCAUUGUUUCCCAAACUAGAUGCUGAAUCCCGGUGAGACUGUGAAGAUAUUGUGAGCGUUCUUGGAGAUCAGAGCAGAAAACAUCCAUCGGAGAAUGGCCCUGUCUGAGAGAUAUGUUACCCUAAACACCAAGACUCAAUAUAUAUGACUUAAGAAAAAAAAGAUCCUUAUGCACUAUCUGAAGGUGAUGCUUCCUGACUUUUGCAACAGAAAGAAUGCUGUCUUCCUGUGCCUGCGGAGAUGAUAAUCAAGCUGGCACACUGACAAUCAAUGUAAAUUCAUUAAACAAAACAGGAAGUAAACAGAUUGAGAUUGUCAUGACAAUGUGUCUCCUCCCCUUUCCUUUCUGAUUCUGGGUUGAACCCCAAGGAAACAUGAUGAACCAGGUUGCAUGACUGUGAAGGCAGGAUAAAAGAAAAGCAGAAGAACCACAUUAAUCAUGGCAGACAUUGAUGAAGAAGGACAAUGAGGUUUUUCUGGUGGGUUUCUGGAGAAAUCAACUGUCAACAUUCUGCAAAACAAUCACUGACUCAAAAAACUCAAGAAGGGAGUAAAGAUAAUUAAUAAACCCCUCCAGAUAUAUCAUCUGAAGACAUAGCCAAAGGAGUGCUCUCCAAGUAUACCCCUGAGAUAACUACAUUAUAUAGCAGUUCAUUUCUGGCUGGUACUAGCAUAUUUUGCCUACUCACCUGCAAACCUUCUUCAGUCAACUCUGUCUCAGAGAUCCCGACAUGAGUCCAUUGGUAUUUGCUAAGGGAGAUGUGUGGAGAGGUGUGGGAGUACAUGUGCUAAGAGUAUCAAUCACCUCCUCAGGUGGUUUACCUUAGGAUCAGCUUAAGGCCAAUCUUACAUGCCCCACUACUCCCCACCCCUCCACCAUCACCUCCUUGAAUGCUGCCCUUGGUGGUGAAUUUCGUAGCUUAAUGGAAAAGAUAGAGCCUAGUUCAUGAGGGACAGCUAAGGUAGCAUGAAUAUUUUGUACUCUGAUCCGAUGUUCUGUCAUGAGUAAGGCCCAAUAGCAUGCUAGGAGCCAUUUCUCAGAAAUAUAAUAGUUACAUGCCUAAGAGAGCAUGGCUUGAUUUCAAAACUCUAAGGGCUUAUGAUGUAAUUCUCUUUAAGUACUUAUAUUGUCCUUAACUGACACAGGCAUUUUAGGCAAUAUUACUUUGUUUGAAUAAUGAGGCUAAAGGACAGAGUUUUUAUUUAUGAGUUACUCACUAAUGAUCAGUAUUCCAAAUGUUGUGUAAAUACAUCCCUGGGCCGGGCAUGGUGGCUCAUGUCUGUAAUCCCAGCACUUUGGGAGGCCGAGGCGGGUGGAUCACGAGGUCAGAAGUUCAAGACCAGCCUGGCCAAGAUGGUGAAACCCUGUCUCUACUAAAAAUAAAGACAAUUAGCCAGGAGUGGUGGUGGGUGCCUGUAAUCCCAGCUACUCAGGAGGCUGAGGCAGGAGAACCACUUGAACCCGGGAGGCGGAGGUUGCAGUGAGCCAAGAUCGCACCACUGCACUCCAGCCUGGGUGACAGAGUGAGAAUCCAUUUCAAAAAAAAAAAAAAAUCCUUGAUGGUUAACAUUGAGUGUCAACUUGAUUGGAUUGAAGGAUGCGAAUUAUUAUUCCUGGGUGUGUCUGUGAGCAUGUUGCCAAAGGAGAUUAACAUUUGAGUCAGUGGACUGGGAGAGGCAGACCCACCCUCAAUCUGGGUGGGCACCCUCUAAUCAGCUGCCAGCAUAAAAGCAGGCAUGGAAAGAGCACACUUGCUGAGUCUUCUGGCCUCCAACUUUCUCCCAUGCUGAAUGCUUCCUGCCCUCUAACAUCAGACUCCAAGUUCUUCAGCUUUUGGACUCUUGGACUUGCACCAGUGAUUUGCCAGGGGCUGUUGGGCCUUCAGACACAGACCGAAGGCUGCAUUAUCAGUUUCCCUACUUUGGAAGUUUUGGGACUUGGACUGGCUUUCUGGUGCCUCAUCUUGCAGACAGCCUAUUGUGGGACUUCCCCUUGCGAUCGUGUGAGUCAAUUCUCCUAAUAUACUCCCCUUCAUAUACACAUAUAUCCUAUUAGUCGUAUCUCUUUAGAGAACCCUGACUAAUACAACAUCUAAAACCCAAAAAGACCUGCCAAGCAUUGUGCCUCUAUUUACAGCGGGGUAUGCAAGAUUAAGCAACCUGGUUUUUAUUCUGCAGGGAAUAUCCCAAUAUGCACCAGGCUACUGCAAAAUACAGAAAUUACUAAUUUGGCACAUCUGGAAUGAAAAAUUUUUCUGCUUAGAGAGAAUACUGAAAGUGUUAUUGAUAAAAUUCAAUUAACAAAUGAUACUGUUUGACAUCUUAUAAUGUGAAUAACAAACAAUGGAGAAUUAUUCCUAUAACGUGUAUGCUGCUGAAAAUUUGGUAAAGCCACCCAUAUUCAAUACUAUGAAUCAGAUCUGAUGGAGAACUUUGAAAUAUCUUGUUUGAUAUAUCCCUGAUGAUCUACUAAAAAGUGGAAAAUAAUUUAAUUAAUUAAUUUUACUUUGAAAGUAACAACUGACAUAUAAAAAUGAGGACAUAAUGUUAUAAUUAUUCCAUUUCUUUUCCAAUUCCAAUUACUAUUUAUUUUCACCUCUAUAUUGUUCUAGCUAUUUAAAUUGCAGCUUUUCUUCUUAACUUUAACUUACUUAACUCUCCAUUUCUUUUAAUCUUAAAUAUGUGUCUGUGAGAGUAUUGAUAUGGUGUGGCUCUAUGUCCCCACCCAAAUCUCAUCUCAAAUUGUAAUCCACACGUCUCAAGGGAGGGAACUGUAAUUCCCACAUGUCAAGGGAGGGAGGUGAUUGGAUCAUGGGGGUGCUUUCUCCGAUGCUGUUCUUAUGACAGUGAAUGAGUUCUCAUGAGAUCCGAUGGUUUUAUAAGUGGUUGGAAGUUCCUCUUUCAUUCUCUUCUCUCCUGUCGCCUGCUUGCCCUUCCACCAUGAUUGUUAAGUUUCCUGGGACUUUCCCAGCCAUGCAGAGCUGGAAGUCAAUUAAACCUCUUUCCUUUGUAAAUUAUCCAGUCUCGGGGAAGUUCUUUAUAGCACUGUGAGAAGGGACUAAUACAAGUCAAUACUGAGUGCUCCAUUCGUGUUUCUCAAACCUGGUCAUUCCUGUCUGAUGUCCAACUACCAGAAUCUGUUCCAGUCACCAGAGAUAGGUGGCUGAAUAUCUCAUUCUUUAUUUAUCUGCCUUUUCUUCCUGUGUUAUUUUCCAACUCCUCAUUACUUUCACUUCUGCAAUAAACUACUUUUUCCUGAAAUCUUUGUCUCCAAACUAUUUAUUGGGAACCUAAACAAAAAACUAAGAUGGAAAGUUCCUAAGUGACAGCUCAUUCUGGGUUGGAGAGGCUCAAGAUAUUCAACAUAGACACCUCUGAUAUGGAUAAUUCUAAACUCCCAAAUGUAACAUAAUCGUAAAGCCUAAAAGGCCUGCUUAUCUUGCUGUUAGAAUCUUCCCAAUAGCUGUCCAGUGAUAAGAUCUAAAAAACAGGGGAGUUUCAUGACAACUAUUUGUAAACAUACUUGGGGGAAUGGAUCAGACCCAGCCUAGAUCUUAUAUGUAAAAUAAUAAGUCACAUGGAGAUGAGUUUAAACAAAUAUAUAGAUCCCAAAAUUUGGACCUUGGACAAGAGAGCAACUGGUUCAGCUAUUGCUCUGUAACAGGACUUAAUUACACUUACCUAAAAUAGAUAUUGAGACUCCCAGUUAGAGUUUUUUAUGAUUCGUUUUGCA